UACGUAGGGGGCAAGCGUUGUCCGGAUUUAUUGGGCGUAAAGAGCGUGUAGGCGGCCAGGUAGGUCAGCUGUGAAAACUCGAGGCUCAACCUCGAGACGCCGGUUGAAACCAUCUGGCUAGAGUCCGGAAGAGGAGAGUGGAAUUCCUGGUGUAGCGGUGGAAUGCGCAGAUAUCAGGAGGAACACCAAUAGCGAAGGCAGCUCGCUGGGACGGUACUGACGCUAAGGCGCGAAAGCGUGGGGAGCGAACGAGG
rnacentral:rRNA from 1 species